rnacentral:rRNA from 1 species
CUACAAUGGGUGGGACAAUGGGUAUCGACACCGAAAGGUGAAGGCAAUCUCCUAAACCCAUCCGUAGUUCGGAUUGUGGGCUGCAACUCGCCCACAUGAAGCUGGAAUCUGUAGUAAUCGUGUCUCAAAAUGGCACGGUGAAUAUGUCCCUGCUCCUU